rnacentral:rRNA from 1 species
UGAUUAAAUAAGAGGAGGUUUUAGGUGUGGGGUAAGGGAUUGUUUGUUGGCUUCGCGCGUUACUUUAAGAAUAAAAAAGUGAAAUUUAGUAUUUGUCUUGAGCAGGGCGCUCCGCUUAGCAUUGAAGCCCACAAGAGUUAGGGUUAAAAUAGGAUUAGAUACCCUACUAUACUAUCUUGAAAUUAACAAAACACCGGGUAGUAACAGUUACUGUCUUUAAACCUAAAGAACUUGGCGGUAUCACAUUCUUAUUAGAGGAACCUGUUUCAGAAACGAUAAUCCUCGAAAUAUCUUACUUUUUUUAGUGUGUCAGUUUGUAUACCGCCAUUAUUAGAUUGUUUCGAGAGAAAACUAUUGAAAUCAUUUAUUAAAUGUAUAUAUUAGGUCAAGGUGCAGCUUAUAAAAAAGUGCAAAUGGGUUACAAUUGAUUAAGUUACUGGCUAGGAGAGUGUAAUACUUUUAAAAAUUGGAUUUAAUUGUAAUGUUAUUUUAUUAUGGUGAUUUGAUAUUAGCUCUGUGAUAUGUACACAUCGCCCGUCGCUCUCAUCUUAAAAU